rnacentral:rRNA from 1 species
GUGCCAGCAGCCGCGGUAAUACGUAGGGGGCAAGCGUUGUCCGGAAUUAUUGGGCGUAAAGCGCGUGUAGGCGGUCCGGUAAGUCGGUUGUGAAAGUCCAGGGCUCAACCCUGGGAUGCCGACCGAUACUGUCGGACUAGAGUUCGGAAGAGGCGAGUGGAAUUCCCGGUGUAGCGGUGAAAUGCGCAGAUAUCGGGAGGAACACCAAUGGCGAAGGCAGCUCGCUGGGACGUUACUGACGCUGAGACGCGAAAGCGUGGGGAGCAAACAGGAUUAGAUACCCUGGUAGUCCACGCCGUAAACGAUGGGCACUAGGUGUGGCGGGUGUCGACUCCCGCCGUGCCGCAGCUAACGCAUUAAGUGCCCCGCCUGGGGAGUACGGCCGCAAGGCUAAA